rnacentral:rRNA from 1 species
GACAAACCGUGCAAACGUUGUUCGGAAUCACUGGGCUUAAAGGGCGCGUAGGCGGCUCACCAAGUCGGGGGUGAAAUCUUUCGGCUUAACCGGAAAAGUGCUUUCGAUACUGGUGGGCUUGAGCGAGGUAGGGGCAUGCGGAACUUCCGGUGGAGCGGUGAAAUGCGUUGAUAUCGGAAGGAACGCCGGUGGCGAAAGCGGCGUGCUGGACCUCUUCUGACGCUGAGGCGCGAAAGCUAGGGGAGCGAACGGG